AUUGAACGCUGGCGGCAGGCUUAACACAUGCAAGUCGAACGGUAACAGGGAGAAAGCUUGCUUUCUUUGCUGACGAGUGGCGGACGGGUGAGUAAUGCUUGGGAAUCUGGCUUAUGGAGGGGGAUAACGACGGGAAACUGUCGCUAAUACCGCGUAAUAUCUUCGGAUUAAAGGGUGGGACUUUUCGGGCCACCUGCCAUAAGAUGAGCCCAAGUGGGAUUAGGUAGUUGGUGGGGUAAAGGCCUACCAAGCCGACGAUCUCUAGCUGGUCUGAGAGGAUGACCAGCCACACUGGAACUGAGACACGGUCCAGACUCCUACGGGAGGCAGCAGUGGGGAAUAUUGCACAAUGGGGGGAACCCGUGAUGCAGCCAUGCCGCGUGAAUGGAGAAGGCCUCGGUUGUAAGUUAC
rnacentral:rRNA from 1 species